UCAGAGGGGGAUACCGAUUGGAAACGAUCGUUAAUACCGCAUAACAUAAUUGAACCGCAUGAUUUGAUUAUCAAAGAUUUAUCGCUGAAAGAUGAGCUCGCGUCUGAUUAGCUAGUUGGUAAGGUAACGGCUUACCAAGGCGACGAUCAGUAGCCGGACUGAGAGGUUGAUCGGCCACAUUGGGACUGAGACACGGCCCAGACUCCUACGGGAGGCAGCAGUGGGGAAUAUUGCACAAUGGAGGAAACUCUGAUGCAGCGAUGCCGCGUGAGGGAAGAAGGUUUUAGGAUUGUAAACCUCUGUCUUCAGGGACGAAAAAAGACGGUACCUGAGGAGGAAGCUCCGGCUAACUACGUGCCAGCAGCCGCGGUAAUACGUAGGGAGCGAGCGUUGUCCGGAAUUACUGGGUGUAAAGGGAGCGUAGGCGGGAUCGCAAGUCAGAUGUGAAAACUAUGGGCUUAACCCAUAAACUGCAUUCGAAACUGUGGUUCUUGAGUGAAGUAGAGGUAAGCGGAAUUCCUAGUGUAGCGGUGAAAUGCGUAGAUAUUAGGAGGAACAUCAGUGGCGAAGGCGGCUUACUGGGCUUUAACUGACGCUGAGGCUCGAAAGCGUGGGGAGCAAACAGGAUUAGAUACCCUGGUAGUCCACGCCGUAAACGAUGAUUACUAGGUGUGGGGGGACUGACCCCUUCCGUGCCGCAGCAAACGCAAUAAGUAAUCCACCUGGGGAGUACGACCGCAAGGUUGAAACUCAAAGGAAUUGACGGGGGCCCGCACAAGCAGUGGAGUAUGUGGAUUAAUUCGAAGCAACGCGAAGAACCUUACCAGGUCUUGACAUCGUAUGCAUAGCUCAGAGAUGAGUGAAAUCUCUUCGGAGACAUAUAGACAGGUGGUGCAUGGUUGUCGUCAGCUCGUGUCGUGAGAUGUUGGGUUAAGUCCCGCAACGAGCGCAACCCUUACUGUUAGUUGCUACGCAAGAGCACUCUAGCAGGACUGCCGUUGACAAAACGGAGGAAGGUGGGGAUGACGUCAAAUCAUCAUGCCCCUUAUGACCUGGGCCUCACACGUACUACAAUGGCUGUCAACAGAGGGAAGCAAAGCCGCGAGGUGGAGCGAACCCCUAAAAGCAGUCUUAGUUCGGAUUGUAGGCUGCAACCCGCCUACAUGAAGUCGGAAUUGCUAGUAAUCGCAGAUCAGCAUGCUGCGGUGAAUACGUUCCCGGGCCUUGUACACACCGCCCGUCACGCCAUGGGAGUCGGUAACACCCGAAGCCUGUAGUCUAACCGCAAGGAGGACGCAGUCGAAGGUGGGAUUGAUGACUGGGGUGAAGUCGUAACAAGGUA
rnacentral:rRNA from 1 species